rnacentral:rRNA from 1 species
GAUUCGUCACACUAUCAUUAACUGAAUCCAUAGGUUAAUGAGGCGAACCGGGGGAACUGAAACAUCUAAGUACCCCGAGGAAAAGAAAUCAACCGAGAUUCCCCCAGUAGCGGCGAGCGAACGGGGAGGAGCCCAGAGCCUGAAUCAGCAUGUGUGUUAGUGGAAGCGUCUGGAAAGGCGCGCGAUACAGGGUGACAGCCCCGUACACAAAAGCGCAUGUGCUGUGAGCUCGAUGAGUAGGGCGGGACACGUGGUAUCCUGUCUGAAUAUGGGGGGACCAUCCUCCAAGGCUAAAUACUCCUGACUGACCGAUAGUGAACCAGUACCGUGAGGGAAAGGCGAAAAGAACCCCGGCGAGGGGAGUGAAAAAGAACCUGAAACCGUGUACGUACAAGCAGUGGGAGCCCCACCACUAAGCCAGUGGUGAACUCCACAUCCGCAUCCUUUGCUGAGGAUACGGUUAACGGAGCGAAAGCGACGUUCAACCGCAAAACAAGCAGAGGGGGCUUAGUGGUGGGGUGACUGCGUACCUUUUGUAUAAUGGGUCAGCGACUUAUAUUCUGUAGCAAGGUUAACCGUAUAGGGGAGCCGGAGGGAAACCGAGUCUUAAUUGGGCGUUAAGUUGCAGGGUAUAGACCCGAAACCCGGUGAUCUAGCCAUGGGCAGGUUGAAGGUUGGGUAACACUAACUGGAGGACCGAACCGACUAAUGUUGAAAAAUUAGCGGAUGACCUGUGGCUGGGGGUGAAAGGCCAAUCAAACCGGGAGAUAGCUGGUUCUCCCCGAAAGCUAUUUAGGUAGCGCCUCGUGAAUUCAUCUCCGGGGGUAGAGCACUGUUUCGGCUAGGGGGCCAUCCCGGCUUACCAACCCGAUGCAAACUGCGAAUACCGGAGAAUGUUAUCACGGGAGACACACGGCGGGUGCUAACGUCCGUCGUGAAGAGGGAAACAACCCAGACCGCCAGCUAAGGUCCCAAAGUCAUGGUUAAGUGGGAAACGAUGUGGGAAGGCCCAGACAGCCAGGAUGUUGGCUUAGAAGCAGCCAUCAUUUAAAGAAAGCGUAAUAGCUCACUGGUCGAGUCGGCCUGCGCGGAAGAUGUAACGGGGCUAAACCAUGCACCGAAGCUGCGGCAGCGAACGUAUCACCCAAGACAACUUUACGGAGUUGACGAUUGACGGAGCGAAGCGACGUCAAAGCGUUCAUUAAAGUCGAGUUGGCUUAGGGAUACGUUCGUUGGGUAGGGGAGCGUUCUGUAAGCCUGUGAAGGUGUGUCGUGAGGCAUGCUGGAGGUAUCAGAAGUGCGAAUGCUGACAUAAGUAACGAUAAAGCGGGUGAAAAGCCCGCUCGCCGGAAGACCAAGGGUUCCUGUCCAACGUUAAUCGGGGCAGGGUGAGUCGACCCCUAAGGCGAGGCCGAAAGGCGUAGUCGAUGGGAAACGGGUUAAUAUUCCCGUACUUGGUGUUACUGCGAAGGGGGGACGGAGAAGGCUAUGUUGGCCGGGCGACGGUUGUCCCGGUUUAAGCGUGUAGGUGUGUGUUCCAGGUAAAUCCGGUU